GAUUCUGCCAGUAGUCAUACGCUAGUCUCAAAGAUUAAGCCAUGCAUGUGUAAGUAUAAAUCUUGUACUUUGAAACUGCGAAUGGCUCAAUAUAUCAGUUGUAAUCUCUUCCGUAUUCCCUUACUACUUGGAUAACCGUAGUAAUUCUAGAGCUAAUACAUGCGUCAACACUCUGUAAGAGUGGUAUUUAUUAGAUAGAAACCAACCCACCUCGGUGGUAUUUUGGUGAUUCAUAAUAACUUUGCGAAUCGCAUGGCUUCUGCCGGCGAUGGACGGUUUGAGCUUCUGCCCUAUUAGCUUUGAUGGCUGGGUAUUGGCCAGCCAUGGCUUUCAUGGGUAACGGAGAAUUAGGGUUUGAUUCCGGAGAGGGAGCCUGAGAAACGGCUACCACAUCCAAGGAAGGCAGCAGGCGCGUAAAUUACCCAAUCCUGACACAGGGAGGUAGUAACAAUAAAUAACAAUGCCGGGCUUUUCUAAGUCUGGCUUUUGGAAUGAGAACAAUUUAAAUCCAUUAUCGAGGAUCAAUUGGAGGGCAAGUCUGGUGCCAGCAGCCGCG
rnacentral:rRNA from 1 species